CCUUCUCAGUUCCUUUCAGUGCCUAACAAGAGAAGCAAGAGAGCCUGGAAAUGUAGUUUGAUACCUCCCAGCCCUAGAUGUUCACAGUAUAGAAGGGAUGGUAAAGGAGGUGGUGUUACAUUUCUGUACUGCUGGUGCAUUGAGAGACCCAAGCAAGUAUCAGGCUUUUCAUCCGUGGAACACAUGCUCCAGAACCUUCUAGCUGUUCACUUGUGAUGGAUACUCUGUUAGCCUUCACUAUUGAAUACACUUUUAAAAAUGAUCAAAACCAACAUUUCCCACAGUGUGAAAUGUUUACAAAAAAGUGUAAACUUAUUACCCAUCCAAGAUGUGGGCCAAUGCUUCUUUUCAAGCUUGCGCUAACUAAUAACAGAGACCAGAGCUGGAACUUAGUCAAGGCAAAGCUACAAGCCAAACAGUGGUGGAGAAGGGUGGAACAUGUCAUGACUUGAGGUAAUGAUGAGCAUGUGGGUGAAGUGAGGGGCAGUGAGACCAUAUGGGGAACGCUGAGGCCAAGUGGGUGUGUGUCAAUGGAGGGCAUGCGUGCGUAGGGUUGGGCACUGGGCACUCCCCGUAUAACCACUAACAGAUUAAAAACUCUGGUAUUUUUGCUGAUUCCUUAAAUAAGGGAAUAUAUGGAAUUUUGUAUAAGUCUCAGUUGUGAUGAAUUGUUCCUCAGUUGUGAUGAAUUGUUUCUACAGUUAACCAAAUUGGGAUUUGGAACAUUUAAAAGCCUGAUAUACAAUGUACAAAAUUCAGUAGCACUUCUGUACUUCUUUUUUUGUUUUUUUGAGUCAGGGUCUCACUCUGUCACCAGGCUGGAGUGUAGUGGUGCGAUCUCAGCUCAUGGCAACCUUUGCCUCCCAGGCUCAUGUAAUACUCCCAACUCAGCCUCCCAAGUAGCUGGGACUACAGGCAUGCAUCACCACGUCCAGCUAAUUUCUGUAUCUUUUGGUAGAGAUGGGGGUUUUGCUAUGUUGCCUAGGCUGGUCUCGAACUCCUGAGCUCAGGCGAUCUGCCUGUGUCAGCCUCCCAAGGUGCUUGGAUUACAGGCGUGAGCCACUGUGCCCUGCCAAAAAUCAGUAGCACUUCUAGAUACCAACAACAUCUAAGCUAAGAACCAAAUCAAGAAUGCAAUCUCAUUCACAAUAGCCACAAGAAGAAUGAAAUACCCAGGAAUACAGCUAACCAGGGAGUGAAAGAUCUGUACAAUGAGAAUUACAAAACACUGCUGAAAGAAAUCAGAGAUGACACAAACAAAUGGAAAAAUGUUUCAUGCUCAUGAAUAGGAAAAAUCAAUAUUGUUAAAAUGGACAUAUUGCCCAAAGUGAUUUACAGAUUCAAUGUGAUUCCUAUCAAACUACCAAUGACAUUCUUUACAGAAUUAGAAAAAGUUUUUUCUUAUUUAAAAUUCAUAUAGAAACAAAAAAGAGCCUGAAUAGCCAAAGCAAUUCUAAACAAAAAGAACAAAGCUGGAAGCAUCACAUUAUCCUACUUCAAACUAUGUUACGAGUCUACAGUGACCAAAACAGCAUGGUACUGUACAAAAACAGACACGUAGACCAAUGGAACCAAAUAGAGUGCCCAGAAAUAAAGCUGCACACCUGCAACCAUCUGAUCUUUGACAAAGUCAAUGAAAACAAGCAAUAGGGAAAGGACUCCCUGUUUAAUAAAUCAUGCUGGGAUAGCUUGCUCGCCAUAUGCAGAAGAUUGAAACUGGACCCCUACCUUUCACCAUAUAGAAAAAUUAACUCAAGAUGGAUUAAAGACUUAUAUGUAAAACCUAAAACUAUAAAAACUCUCGUAGAAAACCUAGGAAAUACCAUUCCAGACAUAGGCCCUGGCAAAGAUUUCAUGAUGAAGGUGCCAAAAGCAAUUGC